rnacentral:tRNA from 1 species
GACCGUGUGCCCGAGAGGCUCAGGGACUCGCCUGCAAAGCGAGUUACACGGGUUCGAAUCCCGUCGCGGUCUCCA